CAAUAGCGUAUAUUAACGUUGUUGCAGUUAAAAAGCUCGUAGUCGAAGGUUUGAUGGGAUGUAAGUUGUGUAUCAUUGAUUUACGACGUAUAUGCUAUCAUUUUUGUGGGGAAAGGGGCGCCCUUUAUUGGGUGUUUUAGGAACCACGACGAUUACCUUGAGGAAAACAGAGUGUUCAAAGCAGGCGUUUGCUUGAAUACGUUAGCAUGGAAUAAUAAGAUAGGGCGUUGCCUGAUUUUGUUGGUUUUGUGGGCCGAGUCAUGAUGAAUAGGGACAGUUGGGGGCAUUAGUAUUUCUAAGCUAGAGGUGAAAUUCUUGGAUUUUAGGAAGACUAACAACGGCGAAAGCAUUUGCCAAGGAUGUUUUCAUUGA
rnacentral:rRNA from 1 species